rnacentral:other from 1 species
UGGGCCCUGCUUUGUGCGCGGAUACGCAGCAUUUCUCUGACCUUCAAUUUGUAUCGGGAGUUCGAAUGCGACGCAGCAAGGACACCUGCCCUGUGCAGGUCCGGAUGGCGUCGCCUAGAGCACCCACCUCAGGAGUGAGGUUUCAGAGAUUCUGCAUUACGGCAAAGUGGGGCUUUU